rnacentral:lncRNA from 1 species
GUUCUGCAUAGAGAACUGAUCUACAGGAUUGCUAGUUAUUCUGAUCAGAUACAUCCUCUUCCUUUAGGUCUUAUAAUAAUUGGUUUCUCACUUUCUAUAAUCUGACAUUAGUGGGGGGUUAAUUUCUUUGCCUAUAAUCAGAAAUUAGGAUAUGAAAAUUUAACAAUCCUGCAACUUUUAGUAGUGAUGAGGGAUGUUGGGAAGGGUCUGGAUUUGGUACUUCUUUUUCCUUUUAUUUUUUUCUUCUUCUUCUUCUUCUUCUUCUUUUUCUUUUAUUUUUUUUUAUUUUUUUUAUUCAUUUUUUUUUUUUUGCACAUCCCACUAAUUCCACGGGCCACGGGCUCUCAAGUUUACAGCCGGUACUCACCUCAAUGACCCUGACUCGAAUUGGUGACCAUUGGAGAACUGAGCUACCCCUCGGGUUAGAUUUGGUAAUUCUAAAUUUGUAAAUAUUUUAAAAUGCUGAAUGUUUGGUGUUAGACUGCGGUGUUUGCUUCUUGAUGUAAGUUCAAUCAUUCCAAUUUAAUGCGGCUUCAGUCUUUGAUAGGAAAGGAUCUUGACUUCAUCCUGAGAUAUAACUUUUGUCUGUUGAUAUUUCAAACUGAUCAUAGAAUUUAACUUGAAAGGCACUAGGAAAUUUAAUGCAGGUUUAUAAUCUCUGGAUCAUCGUUCUUGUUUGUAGGUGGCAAUGUGUGAGGCAGCUUUCAAGCUGACAUUGAUAUUGGUUUGCUAUGGUUUAUUAUUAGUUGUAUUUUCGUUAGUGAUUUGGUUAAAAGAUUUAGUAUUUUUUGUCAUGAACAACAUCAAUAAUAAAUCUUGCAGAUCUACUUGAAGAUUUAAAGCCAAGAACUGUUGCAGCUCAAUAAACCACCCUAGUUAUGGUUUGCCCUUGCUUUGUCUGUGGAUAUGAAUCUUCUCAAGUCUACCCAGAUUAUGUCCCUGACUAACGGGUGCCACGUUUAGAAUGUUCGCACGUUCAUCAAACUACAUACUCAACGCUAUCAAGUAUAACCAAUCUAAUAAUAAUCUUUUGACCUUUUUGACCUCUUAAGGGAAAACAGAAUCCCCCCCCCCCCCCCCCCCCCUUUUUCUAAAGAUAACACUAACUUAUAGGAACUCUGGAUUUUUUUUUCCCCUUUCCUCAUAUUAUAUUGUUUUAUUCCUUUUUAUGUCUACUUAUUCAAUCAGACAUAUGAUUCAUAAUUUUUACAAGGUGACUUCAUUACAAAGAUGGCCAUCAAGGAUUCAAACAUUUGGCAUGAUCGGAAGUUGAGAUAAUUAAGUUCUCCUUCAAUUCUUCUACAUCAACUUGCAAGGCAAUGUAGAAUUGUUUAGGUUUGCUUAAUGGGUUAUCUGUAAAAAAUAGAUUUAGACUUGUAGUACAGUAUCAUAAACAACUUACAUGAUUACAAUUUACUUAUUUGUUUCUGGUGGUAAAUUUUUAGGAGUAAAGGAUGUUGCCUGGAAAGUUCGUAGUAGCCUGAUCCAACCAACUUAAUUGACAUUGACCUUUACUUUAGUAGUUUCUUCAUCAUUGGAAUGUGAAGUGGGAAAUUAUUCACCAAAUCCUCUUGAUUCAGAAGUAGCAGUGUAAGUGGCAGAAAAUCAAAAUUUGUUUUUUUCCUUAUUGGUUUGUCUAAGAUACCCUGUUUCUUCUGUGCAUUUUUCCCCUUAUAACUUAAUUUUUUUUUUAGUCGUCUUUUUGUAGCCUUUCCAUUCUCUAUUUCCCUUUGUUUUAUACGUUCUUCUUUCUAUUUACAAAGUUACUCGAAGCAAUUACUGAUGGCACAUUCAAUCUAUAGAUUUCUCAUUUCAUGUAGUUUUGCAUUUUUUGAGUUUGUUUUUGUUGCACAUACGUCUUGUUUUUAAGCAUCUCCUCACUCCAGAUUUUGAAGAUGUAUGAUGGUGUUGCUACUCAACCAAAUGGGAAAUCCCAAAAAAUGUAAGUUUUAUUUAUUUAUUUAUUUAUUAUUAUUAUUAUUUUUUUUUUUCACGAGGAUCAAUACUUUUUUAUUAAAGGAGAGGAGAAUUCAUGAUAUGGAAAAGACCCUGGAAAAUCCUUGUAUGUAUCUUCUAAGAGAAUGCUGUGUUUUAAUAAUGUCUGUUCUGCUCUUAUAGGCUCAAUUUGUUCGUGAUUUUAGAAUGUUAUUUUUAUUUUUGUUUCACCCGUUUCAUCUUUCCUUAUGUCCAUGUUUGUUUAUUUUGUUUUCUUUCAUUUUAUCCUGUAUUAUUAGUUUCGUGCCCUUCUUUUCUUAAAUUCAUGUACUCUAUUACAAAAGUCGUUUAAUCUUUAUCUAUAGCUUGCAGCUUUUUAGCUUAGGUCGUGAAAUGAAAAGUUGUGGGGUUAGUGAGAUGAGGUGUGAUACUUUUCCUCUGGUAAAGUCAAUGUUAAAGGAAAAAAUAUGCUGUUUCUUGCAAUUCCUCAAUUCUGAUGGUAUUGUUACUGUGUAACUGUGGUAUUUUGUAAAGAAGUCAUUUAAUCUUUAUCUAUAGCUUGCAGCUUUUAAGCUCAGGUCGUGAAAUGAAAAGUUUUGGGGUUAUUGACAUGAGAUGUUCUACUUUUCCUCUGGUGAAGUCAAUUUUAACGGGAAAAAAUAUAUUGUUUCUUGCAAGUCCUCAGUUCAGAUGGUAUUUUUACUAUGUAACUGUUGUAUUGGUAAAGAAGAUAUUGAAAAGGAAUUCUAUCCUUACUAUUAUUGGAUCUUAGAGCACUGUUAAUUUGCUGCUGGUAUAUCUGUUUCUUUACUAUCGUUUUUGCAUUUUGUUUCUUAGCUUUAUUGGUAUUUAGUAAAGAAGAUAUUGAAAAGGUAUCCUAUUCUCACUAUUAUUGGAUCUUAGAGCACUGUUAAUUUCCUUCUGGAAUAUCUUUUUCUUUACUGUCAUUUUGCAUUUUGAUUCUUAAUUUUGUUGGUCCAGAUUGUUGGUCUUACUUAUAUUUAGUAUCUUUUGCUUCUUAGAUUUUAGAGCACUGUUAAUUUCCUGGUGGUAUAUCUUUUUCCUUUACUAUCAUUUUGCAUUUUGUUUCUUAAUUUUGUUGGUCAAGAUUGUUGUUCUUAUUUAUUUCACUCUUUUGUAUCUUCUGUUUCUUCCUCAAUUUUCUCAAAUGCCUUUUCAGUAUUUCUAGGGGUCAUUUAUGAUAUUGAAAAGGAAUCCUAUUCUCACUAUUAUUGGAUCCUAGAGCACUGUUAAUUUCCUGCUGGUAUAUUUUUUUCUUUACUGUCAUUUUGCAUUUUGAUUCUUAAUUUUGUUGGUCCAGAUUGUUGGUCUUAUUUAUAUUUAGUAUCUUUUGCUUCUUGGAUCUUAGAGCACUGUUAAUUUCCUGGUGGUAUAUCAUUUUCCUUUACUAUCAUUUUGCAUUUUGUUUCUUAAUUUUGUUGGUCAAGAUUGUUGUUCUUAUUUAUAUCACUCUUUUGUAUCUUCUGUUUCUUCCUCAAUUUUCUCAAACGCCUUUUCAGUAUUUCUAGGGGUCAUUUAUUCUUUCUUUAUAGCUUUGUAGUAUUUAAGCUGCAUGGUAAUUGAUCUGGAGAAUGUUCAGAAGCAAUGGGAUUAUUUGUGUAAUUGACAGUUUAUUUCUAGAUAAUAUAAAGGACUUGUAUGAGCCCCAAAAAAUAGAAAAAAAAAAUGCACUUUCAAAUAAUAGAUUGAUGAAGAAUGUGUGGUUAAAAAAUAAGGAAAAUAUUUGAAUUUGCAUGUAAUAUUUUUUAUUUAAAAUGUGCGGUUGAAAAAAAGUAGAGAAAAAUGUAUUUUGGAAAAAAUAAGAAUCGAACAAGGUCAAAAUAAAUCAAGAUCUUUAAAUUUAUUAGAAUGUGCAAGAAUAACGGAACACGCUUUAGUGAGAAUAUGCAAUACCAUUGCAUAUAAUUAAUUUGAAGAGUUCUCAGCUGCUGUUUGUUGUAGAAUAUGCAAUCUUAUUGCAUAGAACCACAAUUAACUAAGUAAUGACGAAAAUUUUUCAAAUUUUAGAAUUUGCAGUUCCACAAAAUAUCAUAUACAGGAUGUUAUAUAUUGCUUUUUUUUUGUGACGAGAUAUAUUAUGAUCUGUAAAGUAAUUAUAAUUGCAUAUUUGUAAUUUCUUUAUUUUUGUAUUUCAUAGAGAUUCAAAUGAUUAACUGAUUUUGAACCCCUUACAAAUAUUCAAAACAUGUAAAUUGUAAUCUUCGAAAAUUUUACUCUACAAUCUUGAUCGGUCAUAUCCUUUUAGAAUGAUCUUGUUAGCGAGCAUCUGGCUGUUGUCAUGUCCUCCGAGUAUUGUACAAUUUAUGAAUUUUUCAUUUUUAAAUAUUUGUAAUACUUAAUUGAAUUUAUGAAUUUAUGAGCAAAUGCUCGGACCAAGAUAUUCUUGCAAGGGUACAAAUUGUAACGGUUAAACAAGUUGUUGGAAUUCCCAAAAUUGCUACACUUACGCAGGGCUGUUGUCCUUUGCACAAUAUGUUCGAGUGGAAACUAUGUUGAUCAAAUAAUUUUGACUUAAACAUUUGUACAGAAAAUAUUAUUGUUUCAUUGAGUUAUAAAUAUUAUUGUCUAACCAUCCCACGGUUAUUAGUGGUCUACAAUUUUAUCUAAAGGAGUUGAUGAUGCCUGUGUCUACAGUUUUGUCUGAAAGGACUUGGUUGAUGCUCAAAAUUGAGAUAACUAAGUUUUUCUUAAACAGUAGGUUUUAAUUGAUUCAAAGUAACACAGAAGUUAAUUGAGGUGUUAUACUUUUCCUUUGGUGAAGUCAAUUUUAAUGGAAAAAAUAUAUUGUUUCUUGCAAGUCCUUAAUUCUUAUGGUAUUGUUACUAUGUAACUGUGGUAUUUGGUAAAGAAGAAAAGUCAAAUAUCUUUAUCUAUAGCUUGUAGCAUUUAAGAUCAGGUCGUGAAAUGAAGAGCUGUGGGGUUAGUGACAUGAGUUGUUCUACUUUUCCUCUGGUGAAGUCAAUUUUAACAGAAAAAUAUAUUGUUGCUUGCAAGUCCUCUAUUCAUAUGCUAUAUAUUGAUCUUUUUGCGACGAGAUAUUAUGACUGUAUCUACAACUUUGUUUGAAAGGACUUGAUUGAUGCCCAAAAUUGAGACAACUAAGUUCCGUUGAACAAUAGAUUUUAUACGAUCCAAAGUAACACAGAAGUUAAGUUGUUACCAGUAACCUAAUCAGCUAUUUGCAAAAUAUAUUUGGAAAUAUGCCCGCUGUAGACAGUGAUUUAUAUAAUCAUUUUUUGAUGAUAGAUAAUGAAAAAAGAGAAUUUGUAAAAGAACACAUUUGGUAUGAGGUUAGAAUAAUGUUAAUCGGAUAUGAAGGUAAUGUUGGUGCGAAUUGAAAGUCUAUUUAUUUUAUUUUAUUAUUAUUAUUUUUUAAUGCUCUCAAUUAAGAUGUGAAGAUCCUGCAUUCACUUUAUCAUUGUUUGUUUGUGAUCAAGAAUUAUGUCUACGUGGACUUGAUUUGCUUGGUUUGAUUCUUUCCAAGAAUAAUGUUAAGGAAACACGUGCUUGAGAUAAGAGUAAUGUUAAUCACCAUGGUAACAAUUUCUAGAGUUUACACGGAUAUGCACAUUAGUCUUCCUGGUGGUGAAUUCCUAUGUUGUACACAUUUUGUUUUUCCGUUGUUGCGGUAGCUUUUGACAUGUACAUUCCUUGAAGUUGGUGUGGAUUGAAAAUUUUCUUGUUUCCUUCUAUAAUUCAGAUGUGAAGAUACUGCAUUCAUUUUGUCAUUGUUGUUUGAUGCCUGGAAUGGACUAUUUGAGGCAGCUAAAUUAUCCAUAGAACGAAAAUCCUAACAACGUUCAAGGUUGUUCAGAACUCAUCAAGGUAUUCAUUUUAAUGGGAUAUUUUUAAGAAAUAUAUUUGGACGUGAAUCUGGGAUGGGGCUUGUACAUGCGACUUUGAUAAUUUAUAUCGAGAAAAAGUUUGUCAAAAAGACACAUUUGGCUGGAAAAUGAGAAUAAUGCUAUCAUCAUGGUAUGUCAACCAGUAACAUCAUCAAUAUUGAACUCAGAUUUGGGUAGGAGGAGGUCAUUCCGAAUGUAAUUUUGAUGUUGCACGAAAAUCUUGUUCUUUAAAGUGAUAUGGUUAUUGUACUCUCUAUCAUUUCAUUUUUCUAUCAAGAGCAAGUUGGCUUAGAUGGCAGUAAUUUGUUAACUGAAUAUAAUGAAUUUGUUUCACGGUUAGGAGAGAGCAAGUGCUGCCACAAAUUUAUGAUCUAUGGAGCCAUAUUUUGUGUAACCAUCCUGUUUCUGCUGCUAUUUUCCAUAGUUCAUAGCCUGAUGAAGUCAAGUAUGUCAUGAAAUUUGUUCCAUAAUGAUGGUGAGUAGAAGAAGAGUUAGCAGGAACUUUUCUCUGGUUGAGAUUCUUGAACAUACUUUCAGAGAGCUAGAUAUUUUAUCAUGUUGAUAUUUGUUCGGUUGGAUCUAUUCUUGAUAUCAGGUGAUAAUUGAAGUUUGUCUACUCUAAUCUAACUUGUUAAAUUCUGCUGGGUUUUUUCAUCUGCAAAAUUUUCAGUUUUGCUCUAUUUUGUAUAUGACAUGUUAAUAUAAUGCCAUUUUCUUAUUGGUAUUUUUCGUUUCUUCCUUUGUCUUCCUGCAAAAAUUUUACUUGAAGCAUUACUACCAUUUAUGUUCUCCUAAGCUUUGAGUUAUGAAACUUCAUUUUUUAACUUCCCUCCCUUGAAGUUAGUUCAUCUGGAAGAUGUUUCUGUUUUCUCCUAAGCUCAUUCAGAUGUGAAGAUACCACACUCACUUAAAAUAAAAUAUCAUAUUUAUUGUCACAGAGACAUUGGUUCGCUUGGUUUGACUCCUAGAACUGAGACAGCUAUGUUUUUCCAUGGAACUUACUACUUAUAGCUCACCAAUUUAAUAAUCAUGGACUAUGACUUACACAAGCAUCUUUGACGAUUCUUAUUGAUUAAAAACACAUUUAUUGCAAAUAUGAAUGGAAGUUAACAGCCCAGAGGGAGGAAUACGGUGGUAAUUUAGGAUGUUGCCCACAAAAUCAUAUUGCUUAGAUAUAAAUUUUAGUUAGAUUUUUUUUUUGAUAUUGAGUGCUUCUUGUAGUUGUCUACUUGUCUAAGCUCAUUUGGAAUGUGCAGGUACAAUUUUGCAUUUUACGUCUUGCUCCAUGUUACAUCAUCUAAAUAUUUUGCUCCUCUUUUUUUUUUUUUUUGGGUUGUAUGUCGCUUUUGUGUUUAAUUACACCAUAUGUACUGCAUAUUCUCUAUUUGUUUUAUUUCUCCAUUUCUCCUUGAUUAUUUUGCAGAAAUUUUAUUUGAAGACAUAUUUAUGUAUGCCAUUCAAUCCUCAGCUUUUAGUUUUGAAAUAUUGGUAACUGUCAAUUGUUGUUUACUUACUUCUAUAGAGAAAUGUUUUGGUUUUCUGCAUUGCUUCUUACUCAGAUGUGAAGAUACUGCAUUCACUUGCUAUGUCUUUGUUAUCAGUAAAGGAGUAUUAUGUUUAAGAGAAGUUGGCUUGCUUGGAUUGAUGCCUAGAAUCGAGACAUCUAAGUUUUCCGUUGCACAGUAAUUUUGCUAAUCUUCAAGGUAAUACAGUAUUGCUUAUGGUUUCUAUAUUAAUGGGAUAUUUGUGUGAGAGAUUUGGUUAUAUGUCAAUCACACAUUGUGAUCUACACAAGCAUUUUUUAUUAUUCAUAUUUUCUAACACAUUGAUCAUCGAUAUUAUUAAUGUUCAUCAUCAUAGCAUGUCAUCCAUUAAUAACUUCAUUAGUGAAUGAGAUGUGUGUGUGACGAAGUUGUUCUGGUAAUUAAAGACAUUGGACAAAAAUCUUCUUGUCUGAGGUUAUGCAGUUUCUGUGCCUUAUCACUUCAUCACUUCAUUUUUCUACAGAGAGAGCUUAGUUGGCUAAGAUGAACAUCAUUUUUCAGUUGGAUGUGAUGGAUAUCGUUUGGCAAUUCGACAAGAGCAAAUAAUGCUGGAAAUUUAUGAUCCAUAGAGCUAUAUUUUGUGCAACAAUUUAUUUCUGCUGCUAUUUUCACGUUCAUAUUCUGACACUCAAAUUUGUCCAGACAUUAUUCCAUCAUUGGUGGAAUUUUUCUUUGGUUGAGAAUCCAGUUUGAUAUUUGUUCCAGUUGGAUCUGUUCUUGACAGGAGUACAUUGAAAUUUGUAUAUGGAUGCCCAUUUGAUGUGUUGAGGUACAAAUUUACAUUUGUCUAGGCUAAUAUAGACGUCAUUUUUCUGCUCUAUGUAAGGGAUUAUGCUCUGAAGUUUGGCAACAAUCAAAUAUUGCUGGAAAUUUACUAGAGUCGUAUUUAAUGGAAUGUCUAUAUGAAGUUUCGUCGAGACAUUUUUCUACUGCGACGGGGAAUAUAUAAGAAUCUUGCUGGAAUUUUCUUUGAUUGAGGUUCUUGAACAUGUUUCCAAUAGCUUGAUAUUUGUUGCACUUGGAUCUGUUCUUGAUAUGAGGAGUAAAUUGAAAUUUUUCUAUGGUGGUUCAUUUGAUGUGUUGAAGGUACAAGUUUACAUACUACAUAUUGCUAUAUUCAUCUUCAAAUUUUGUUUGUUUUAUGCUGCUUUUGUUUGCACCAUAGUUGCUGCAAUGCAUAUUUUGGUUUUCCCGUUCUCCUCUGUUCUUCUGCAGAAAUUUUAUGUGAAGCAUUUCUGCCAUUCAGUCCUCUUCUCAGUUUGUAUGUUGAAACAUUGUUAACUGAUCUGGUGUUUUUUUUUUUUUUUUUUUUUUUUUUUUUUUGCCUUCAAGUUGAUUCAGAUAAAUAUUAAUGUUUUCUGCUAUGCUCUCAAUUCAGAUGUGAAGGUACUAUAUUCACAUUUUUUGUCAUUGUUAUUAGUGAAGGAGAAUAAUGUGAAACAAAUUGGUUUGCUGGUUUGGUGCCUGGAAUCAAGACAAUUAAGUUUUUCAUUGAACAGUAGUUCUGAUAAGCUUGGAGAGAAUACAGAAUUGAUCGAGGUAAUCAUUUAAUGGAAUAUUUGCGUGACUGAUUUGGAAAUAUAUGGAACUAUUGGACUGUGACCUAUACAAGCAUCUUUGAUGGUAUGUAUUUACAAAAUUUAGUUAAAAUGACACAUUAGUCAUUGAUAUAGAUAAUGUUCAUCAUGGCAUGCGGCCCAUAACAAUUUCAAUGGUGAACUCAAAUUUGCGUGGGAUGGUAGUAAUUUCUAGUUGCACAAAUCUUGUAAGAGGUCAAGUGGUUUCUGUACUUUUUAUCACUAGAUUUUUCUACAUAGAACAAGCUUAGUUAGCUAAGAUGGUCCUCUUUUCAGCUGGAUGAAAUGGAUUUCGUUUCACAGAUUCGCAAAUGCAAAUAGUACUCAAUAUUUCACGCAACAUCUUAUUUAUACUGCUGGGUUCCAUGUUCACAUUCCAAUGUAGUCAAGAUCAUCAUGACAUUUUUCAAAUGGGAUGGAGAGUAAGUAUAAAAAUUAUGUGAAGGUACUGGUUACACUUGCAACGUUAUUUUAAUUAGUGAUGGAGAAGUAAGGAAUUGGUUCACUUUGUCUGAUGCCUGCAAUUGAAGACAGCCAAUUUUUUGUGUAGAACAAAAUUCUGAUAAACUUCAAGGUAUUUAUUUUAAUGAGAUAAUUGAAAUGGACGGUGAUACACACAAGCACGUUUAAUGAUCCCCAUUGAGAUAAAUUUUAAUUUAAAUACACAUUGGCUGCAGCUAUGAGUUAUGUUAAUUGUCAUGUAUGCCACCCAAUGACUGUGUCAAUAAUGAGCUCAGCUAUGCAAGAGAUGAAGUCGCUCUGGUGCUAAUUUCUUAUAUUGCCCAUAGAUCUUGUUCUCGAAGUCAAGUUUUUUACUGACCCCUUUCUACAAAUACCAAGAUCAGUUGGCUUAAGAUGGAUGUCAUUUUUCAGCUGGAUGAAAUUAUUUCAUUUCCCAGUUUGGCAAGAGGGAAGUAUUUCUAGAAAUCUGUGAUCUAUGGAACCAUAUUUUGUGCAACAUCUUGUUUCCGCUUCUAUUUUCUAAGUUAUGUCCUGAUGCAGUCAAGUUUGAUGUGACAGUUUUUUCCACUGGGAUGGAGAAUAUAUGAGGAGUUAAUGGAGUUCUUCAGUUGAGAUUCUUGGGCCUACUUUUCGAUAAGAGUGAUCUGUUUAAUUUGGUUCAGUUCUGAUAUCAGGAGUACAAGAAGUUUGCCUACACUUAUCUAAAACGUGCAGAUACAAGAUUUCGUGUUAUGGCCUGCUCUCUCUCUCUCUCUCUCUCUGUAUGUGUGUGUAGUAACUUAUCAUUUGUUCUAUGUUGCUUUUUUCAUUGGACCAUAUUAUAGUGCAAUGCUUAUUUUCUUGUCGUUUGUGUUUUUGCUCGACCCUCCUCCGUUCUUCUUCAGAAAUUGAUUUGAACCAUUUUUGUGGGCUUCUUCAGAAAUUGAUUUGAACCAUUUUUGUGGGUAUUCAAUCCUCUUUAGCUUGUUGAUUUAAAAUUUUUGUGAUAGACCACGUGGCUUUGACUUACCUUGUUUUGGAUUGAAAAUAUUAAUGUUUCAUACUAUGCUCUCAAUUCAGAUAAGAAGACACUGCAUUGCUUACUGGAUAGUUAUUAGGGUUACAUUAUGUUCAAAAGAAGUUAUUUGCUUGGUCUGAUGCCUGAAACUGAGACAGCUAAUUUAUACAUGAAACAGUAGCUUGGAUAAGCUUCCAAGGUAAUACAGAAUAUCAAGGUAUUCAAUUUAAUGAGAUAUUUGCAACAAAUAGAUUUGGAAAUGUACGGAUAUGGACGAUGACUUUAGCAGGUCUCUUUUGUGAUUUAUAUAGAGCUAAAUUCUGUUCCAGACUCAUUGGUCAUAGAUAUAAGUGUCAUUCUGGUAAUUUCCCAUAUUGCACACAAAUCUUUUUCUUGAAGUUCUGGUUUAUGUACACAUUUCAGUUUUCUAUGAGUAGCAAGUUUAGUUAGCAAAGAUGGGUCUCAUUUUCAGUUUAUGUACACAUUUCAGUUUUCUAUGAGUAGCAAGUUUAGUUAGCAAAGAUGGGUCUCAUUUUCCAGCUGGAUAUAAAUUUCAUUUUGCAGCUUGGCAAGAUUUAAUAUUGCUAGCUAUUUGUGACGGGAGAGUUGUAUUUCGU